CGCCACAAACAUUAGAAAAUGGAAAAUGGAGGUUUUGCAACGGUACCACAUGUCAUUUGAAAUGUAGAAGAGGAUAUAAAGUUGAAGGGAAUGCAAUUAUAAAAUGCCAAGAUAAUGGAGAGUGGUCACUACCAGGUAAAUGCAUAGAUGCAAUGGCUGAGAAUGGGUGUAUAGAAGGUUGGUUUGGGCCAAGUUGUUAUUACAGAGAUAUUAUGUUUUUGGCGAAUGAAAUAUACCCACAACAUUUACGCGAAAACGGCAGUUGCUAUUCAACAAAUUUUGUACACAUCAAGUUUAAGGCGGAGA